rnacentral:rRNA from 1 species
UACGUAGGGCGCAAGCGUUGUCCGGAAUUAUUGGGCGUAAAGAGCUCGUAGGCGGCUUGUCACGUCGGGUGUGAAAGCCCGGGGCUUAACCCCGGGUCUGCAUUCGAUACGGGCUAGCUAGAGUGUGGUAGGGGAGAUCGGAAUUCCUGGUGUAGCGGUGAAAUGCGCAGAUAUCAGGAGGAACACCGGUGGCGAAGGCGGGUCUCUGGGCAAUAACUGACGCUGAGGAGCGAAAGCGUGGGGAGCGAACAGG